GGCCCCGCACAAGCGGCGGAGCAUGCGGAUUAAUUUGAUGCAACGCGAAGAACCUUACCUGGGUUAAAUCAUACAGGAAACACCUAGAGAUAGGUGCCCCUUUAUGGUCUGUAUGACGGUGGUGCAUGGCUGUCGUCAGCUCGUGUCGUGAGAUGUUGGGUUAAGUCCCGCAACGAGCGCAACCCUCGUCCUAUGUUGCCAGCGGGUAAUGCCGGGGACUCAUAGGAGACCGCCGGGGUCAACUCGGAGGAAGGUGGGGAUGACGUCAAGUCAUCAUGCCCCUUACGUCCAGGGCUUCACGCAUGCUACAAUGGCCGGUACAAAGAGCUGCAAACCUGCAAGGGUAAGCGAAUCUCAAAAAGCCGGUCUCAGUUCGGAUUGGGGUCUGCAACUCGACCCCAUGAAGUCGGAGUCGCUAGUAAUCGCAGAUCAGCAACGCUG
rnacentral:rRNA from 1 species